UCGCGAACCAGGAAGGAGAAAGGGGAAAAACCCCCUUAGCAUCACAAAUCACCAAAUUGAAGCCCCAAAUGUGAUCUUAAGAUCGUGCAUGUACUAAUAUUGGAUCAUCUACACAUUAUUAAACACAAGGAAUUAAGGAGGAAAGCACAAGCCGUUCCGAGUCUCAAACGAAGAACGAUAAAGGUAAAGCGACUUGCUAAAUGACGCUACUUGGAUCGAACACGCUCUUGAUGCACGCUUCCGCAAGGAUUUUAGUUUGGGUCAAAACUUUUGUUAAAUAUACUUUUGGUAAAUGGGUCUUUGUGUAAGUAACAAACUUGUUUGUUGUUAGAUGUCAAA